rnacentral:rRNA from 1 species
GAUGAACGCUAGCGGCAGGCUUAACACAUGCAAGUCGAGGGGUAUAGUUCUUCGGAACUAGAGACCGGCGCACGGGUGUGUAACGCGUAUGCAAUCUACCUUUUGCAGAGGGAUAGCCCCAGAGAAAUUUGGAUUAAUACCUCAUAGUAUAGCAGUUUCGCAUGAAACCACUAUUAAAGUCACAACGGCAAAAGAUGAGCAUGCGUCCCAUUAGCUAGUUGGUAAGGUAACGGCUUACCAAGGCUACGAUGGGUAGGGGUCCUGAGAGGGAGAUCCCCCACACUGGUACUGAGACACGGACCAGACUCCUACGGGAGGCAGCAGUGAGGAAUAUUGGACAAUGGCGCAAGCCUGAUCCAGCCAUGCCGCGUGCAGGAUGACGGUCCUAUGGAUUGUAAACUGCUUUAUACAGGAAGAAACACUCCGACGUGUCGGAGCUUGACGGUACUGUAAGAAUAAGGAUCGGCUAAUCCGUGCCAGCAG